ACUAUAAUAAGAAGAAACGUAUUAUUUGCCCACUGUGUACUCUAAAUAUGGUAGUCUGUAUAUAGUUUGUGGCUGUAUAGUUUGUGGAAGUUGCCAUAUAUUGCAACAACAUUUGAAGGAUACAUCAGCAAUUGUUCUAAAUGAACAGAGAAGGCCAGUAGUUCAAUAAAAA